GAUGAACGCUGGCGGCGUGCCUAAUACAUGCAAGUCGAGCGAACGGACGAGAAGCUUGCUUCUCUGAUGUUAGCGGCGGACGGGUGAGUAACACGUGGAUAACCUACCUAUAAGACUGGGAUAACUUCGGGAAACCGUAGCUAAUACCGGAGAAUAUUUUGAACCGCAUGGUGCAAAGGUGAAAGACGGUCUUGCUGGCGCUUAUAGAUGGAUCCGCGCUGCAUUAGCUAGUUGGUAAGGUAAUGGCUUACCAAGGCUACGAUGGGUAGCCGGCCUGAGAGGGUGACCGGCCACAUUGGGACUGAGAUACGGCCCAGAGUCCUACGGGAGGCAGCAGGGGGGAAUAUUGCACAAUGGGCGGAAGCCUGAUGCAGCAACGCCGCGUGCGGGAUGACGGCCUUCGGGUUGUAAACCGCUUUCGCCUGUGACGAAGCGUGAGUGACGGUAAUGGGUAAAGAAGCACCGGCUAACUACGUG
rnacentral:rRNA from 1 species